UACGUAGGUGGCAAGCGUUGUCCGGAAUUAUUGGGCGUAAAGCGCGCGCAGGUGGUUUCUUAAGUCUGAUGUGAAAGCCCACGGCUCAACCGUGGAGGGUCAUUGGAAACCGGGGAACUUGAGUGCAGAAGAGGAAAGUGGAAUUCCAAGUGUAGCGGUGAAAUGCGUAGAGAUUUGGAGGAACACCAGUGGCGAAGGCGACUUUCUGGUCUGUAACUGACACUGAGGCGCGAAAGCGUGGGGAGCGAACAGG
rnacentral:rRNA from 1 species